CAGAAGUUGGCGGCGUGGUUAGGCAUGCAAGUCGAACGCGAACCGGUAGCAAUAUCGGGGAGAGUGGCGAAAGGGGGCAGUAAAUGCGUGGGUAACCUACCUCGGGGUCGGGUAUAGCCGUUCUAACGGACGGGUAAUCCCCGGCGCUGUGACGGGGCGGCAUCGCCUUGGCACGGAAGAAUUUCGCCUCGAGAGGGGCUCACGUCGUAUUAGCUAGUUGGUGGGGUAACGGCCCACCAAGGCGUAGAUGCGUAGCGGGUGUGAGAGCACGACCCGCGCCACUGGCACUGAGACACUGGCCAGACACCUACGGGUGGCUGCAGUCGAGGAUCUUCGGCAAUGUGCGCAAGCAUGACCGAGCGACGCCGCGUGUGCGACGAAGGCCUUCGGGUUGUAAAGCACUGUCGAGGGGGAGAAAAGCCCGCAAGGGUCUGAUCUAUCCCUGGAGGAAGCACGGGCUA
rnacentral:rRNA from 1 species